ACUCAGAUUUACUUAAUAAUUACUUCCAGCUGAAGUUUCCAAGGGUUUUUAAUAGCUUUCUGUCUCUAAAAAUUCCGAGAAAGAAAUGGUUCGACAAGAACAACAUCAACACAGGAUGGAUGGUCCAUGGAUCCUUGAAGCUGUUCCUCUAAUGGUUGUUGGUCUCAUCACUGCUCACGUCGUCGCUCUGGUUUACUGGAUUUACAGGUUAGCUACGGAAAAACAACCUCAAAGAAGAAAAGCCCACUAGUCUGUCAUUCUCUCGAAGUGAUAAUAAUACGGUUAACGAUCAUGUAGCUGGAGAAGAAGUGAAAUCUACUAGUUUCCACAUUUAGGAUUCCAGGUUGCUUUCAGCCAUGUUAUUUCGUCAUUCAUUUAAACUUGUAGGCUGGGAAUAGUGACUUACACUCUCCUCCUGAUGUAUAUUCGAUAAUUAGAAUUUACGACUUGUUAUGUUUCUGUAUGGGGUUUUAGUACAAUCUAGUUAAAAAUUGGUUCCCUUGGCCACAGUGACUAUGAUAUCUACGUUUUUCUUUGUGUCUGUUUGCGUUAUUUGAAUUUAAAAUUUGUAUAUUUUCAGGA